AGGACUAACGCUGGCGGCGUGCCUAACACAUGCAAGUCGAACGAAGUAGCAAUACUUAGUGGCAGACGGGUGAGUAACACGUAGUCAACCUGCCCUUCAAUGGGGGAUAACUAGCCGAAAGGUUAGCUAAUACCGCAUACGAUCUCUGAGUGGCAUCACUCGGCGAUGAAAGGAGUAAUCCGUUGAAGGAGGGGACUGCGUCCCAUUAGUUAGUUGGUGGGGUAAUGGCCUACCAAGACUCCGAUGGGUAGCUGGCUUGAGAGAGCGACCAGCCACACUGGAACUGAGACACGGUCCAGACUCCUACGGGAGGCAGCAGUGAGGAAUUUUUCCGCAAUGGGGGAAACCCUGACGGAGCGACGCCGCGUGUGGGAAGAAGGCCUUCGGGUCGUAAACCACUGUCGAGGGGACGAUAUUGACGGUACCCCUGGAGGAAGCCCCGGCUAACUACGCGCCAGCAGCCGC
rnacentral:rRNA from 1 species